GACGAACGCUGGCGGCGUGCUUAACACAUGCAAGUCGAACGCUGAAGCCCAGCUUUUGUUGGGUGGAUGAGUGGCGAACGGGUGAGUAACACGUGAGUAACCUGCCCCCUUCUUUGGGAUAACGCCCGGAAACGGGUGCUAAUACUGGAUAUUCACUGAUCUUCGCAUGGGGGUUGGUGGAAAGGGUUUUUUCUGGUGGGGGAUGGGCUCGCGGCCUAUCAGCUUGUUGGUGGGGUGAUGGCCUACCAAGGCUUUGACGGGUAGCCGGCCUGAGAGGGUGACCGGUCACAUUGGGACUGAGAUACGGCCCAGACUCCUACGGGAGGCAGCAGUGGGGAAUUUUGCAUAAUGGGCUAAAGCCUGAUGCGGCGACUCCGCGUGAGGGAUGGAGGCCUUCGGGUUGUAAACCUCUUUCGCUCAUGGUCUAGCCGCAGCUUUGGGUUGUGGGGAGGUGUGGGUGUGAUGAAGCUCCCUCCUGUUGGUUUCGUUGCGGCGUGUGUUUUUUUGUCUGAAUGUUUUUUUGUAUUAUUGGGGUGGAUGUGGUGGGGUGUGAUGUGGUUCCUGUCUGUUGUGUUUGGUAUGUGAUGGUGUGACUUGUGGUGUCGUGGUUUUUGGAGAGUUAUGAGCGGGUGGUGUGGGUGUGGUGUAGGUGUUGAGUUGUUGAUAUGCUGUGUUCUUUGGUGUUGUUGUGCUGUGGUGGUUUGUGUUUCUGUGUGUGCUUGGUGUGUGCUUUGUUUAUGUGGAUGUGUCUGUUUUUCGUGUCAGCGUGUGUGUUGGGGUUGAUGUCCUAAAAAGAAACCAAGCAUGAAGUUGAUUAUGUGUUGUGUGUCUGGGGAAAUGUACCGCGUGUGUUGUAGAUUUUCGAGGCUGGGGUGUUGUGGAUGCUGAGGGCUGAUGAGAGAUGUCUGAUGUUAUUUGUUUUGCACAGUGUAUGUGUGUUGUGAUGAUGUAGCGUAGUAUAGAUGUGUUGCAGCUUUGUGAGUGUGGUUUUC
rnacentral:rRNA from 1 species